ACUUUAAUUAUACGCUAUUGGAGCUGGAAUUACCGCGCGCUGCUGCAUCUCUCUCUUUCCUCCUCCUCCGUUUCCUUUUUUUCGUUUUUUUUUUUUUUUUGUGUUUUUUUCGUUGUUGAGAGCAGAUGCCCAGCAGCCGCUGCCGGUAUUCCAUCGCUCCAAUCUAGCGUAUAUUAAAGUGUUGUGGUUACAAAGCUCGUCGUUGGCUCUCAGCUCCUGUCUUGGCGGUCCACCUGAUGGUGUUUACUGUCAUUACUGAGCCGCUUAUCGCAUUGUUUCCUUCCGUGUCUUAAUUGAUUGUCGUAGGCGAUCGACGUUUACUUUGAAAAAAUUAGAGUGCUCAAAGCAGGCCAAUCGCCUGAAUCUGUUGCAUGGCAUAAUGGAAUAGGGACCUUGGUUCUGUUCUGUGCGUCUCGGACUCGAGGUAAUGAUUCAAGAGGGACGGACGGGGACAUUAGCUACUGCCGGCGAUAGAGUGUGAAAAUUCUUGGACCGCCGCCUGACUAACUAAAGCGACAAGCAUUUGUCAAGAACGUUUUUCCUUAAUCAAGAACGAAGUUAGAGGUUCGAAGGCGCUCAGAAUACCGCCCUAGUUCUAACCAUAAACGAUGCCAACCAGCAAUCAGCCAGAGUUUAUUGUAUGACUCGGCUGGCGGCUUCCGGGAAACCAAAGUUUUUCGGUUCCAGGGGAAGUAUGGUUGCAAAGCUGAAACUUAAAGGAAUUGACGGAAGGGCACCACCAGGAGUGGAGCCUGCGGCUUAAUUUGACUCAACACGGGAAAACUCACCCGGUCCGGACACUGGAAGGAUUGACAGAUUAAGAGCUCUUUCUUGAUUCAGUGGGUGGUGGUGCAUGGCCGUUCUUAGUUGGUGGAGCGAUUUGUCUGGUUAAUUCCGAUAACGAACGAGACUCUAGCCUACUAAAUAGUGUUGGAUACCUUCGGUUAUCCGAUCGCUUCUUAGAGGGACAAACGGCGUUUCAGCCGUAUGAAAAAGAGCAAUAACAGGUCUGUGAUGCCCUUAGAUGUCCGGGGCCGCACGCGCGCUACACUGAAAAAAUCAGCGUGCAUGUGUCUACCUACUCCGAAAGGAGCGGGAAACCGAGUGAAACUUUUUCGUGAUUGGGAUUGGGGAUUGUAAUUAUUGUCCAUGAACGAGGAAUUCCCAGUAAGCACAAGUCAUCAGCUUGUGUUGAUUACGUCCCUGCCCUUUGUACACACCGCCCGUCGCUACUACCGAUUGGAUGUUUUAGUGAGGUCUUUGGACUGGCCAACGUAGCUAUCCUCGUGGUGGCCAUGUUCGGCCGGGAAGAUGACCAAACUUGAACAUCUAGAGGAAGUAAAAGUCGUAACAAGGUUUCCGUAGGUGAACCUGCGGAAG
rnacentral:rRNA from 1 species